rnacentral:rRNA from 1 species
AAAGGUAAGCUAUUAAGAGCGAAUGGUGGAUGCCUUGGCUGGUAAAGGCGAUGAAGGACGUACUAGACUGCGAUAAGCUACGGGGAGCUGUCAAGAAGCUUUGAUCCGUAGAUUUCCGAAUGGGGCAACCCAGUAUAUAGAGAUAUAUACUACCAUAAUGGAGCGAACGUAGGGAAUUGAAACAUCUUAGUACCUACAGGAAAAGAAAUCAAUAGAGAUUGCGUCAGUAGCGGCGAGCGAAAGCGCAAGAGGGCAAACCCAGUGCUUGCACUGGGGGUUGUAGGACUGCAAUGUGCAAUAGGUGAGGUUAGUAGAACACUCUGGAAAGUGUAGCCAUAGAGGGUGAUAGUCCCGUAUACGAAAACCAAACCUUAGCUAGCAGUAUCCUGAGUAGGGCGGGACACGAGGAAUCCUGUCUGAAGCUGGGUCGACCACGAUCCAACCCUAAAUACUACUACCAGACCGAUAGUGCACAAGUACCGUGAGGGAAAGGUGAAAAGAACUGAGGUGAUCAGAGUGAAAUAGAACCUGAAACCAUUUGCUUACAAUCAUUCAGAGCACUAUGUAGCAAUACAGUGUGAUGGACUGCCUUUUGCAUAAUGAGCCUGCGAGUUGUGGUGUCUGGCAAGGUUAAGCACACGCGAAGCCGUAGCGAAAGCGAGUCUGAAUAGGGCGCUUAAGUCAGAUGCUGCAGACCCGAAACGAAGUGAUCUAUCCAUGAGCAAGUUGAAGCUAGUGUAAGAACUAGUGGAGGACUGAACCGAUAGGCGUUGAAAAGCCCCCGGAUGACUUGUGGAUAGGGGUGAAAGGCCAAUCAAACUUCGUGAUAGCUGGUUCUCUCCGAAAUAUAUUUAGGUAUAGCGUUGUGUCGUAGUAUAAGGGGGUAGAGCACUGAAUGGGCUAGGGCAUACACCAAUGUACCAAACCCUAUCAAACUCCGAAUACCUUAUAUGUAAUCACAGCAGUCAGGCGGCGAGUGAUAAAAUCCGUCGUCAAGAGGGAAACAACCCAGACUACCAGCUAAGGUCCCUAAAUCUUACUUAAGUGGAAAACGAUGUGAAGUUACUUAAACAACCAGGAGGUUGGCUUAGAAGCAGCCAUCCUUUAAAGAAAGCGUAAUAGCUCACUGGUCUAGUGAUUUUGCGCGGAAAAUAUAACGGGGCUAAAGUAAGUACCGAAGCUGUAGACUUGAUUUUAUCAAGUGGUAGGAGAGCGUUCUAUUUGCGCCGAAGGUAUACCGGUAAGGAGUGCUGGAGCGAAUAGAAGUGAGCAUGCAGGCAUGAGUAGCGAUAAUUAAUGUGAGAAUCAUUAACGCCGUAAACCCAAGGUUUCCUACGCGAUGCUCGUCAUCGUAGGGUUAGUCGGGUCCUAAGUCGAGUCCGAAAGGGGUAGACGAUGGCAAAUUGGUUAAUAUUCCAAUACCAACAUUAGUGUGCGAUGGAAGGACGCUUAGGGCUAAGCAAGCUAGCGGAUGGAAGUGCUAGUCUAAGGUCGUAGGAGGUUAUAUAGGCAAAUCCGUAUAACAAUACUCCGAGAACUGAAAGGCUCUUCAAAGUCUUCGGACAGCGAGGAGAAUUGCUGAUGCCGUCGAGCCAAGAAAAGUUUCUAAGUUUAGCUAAUGUUGCCCGUACCGUAAACCGACACAGGUGGGUGGGAUGAGUAUUCUAAGGCGCGUGGAAGAACUCUCUUUAAGGAACUCUGCAAAAUAGCACCGUAUCUUCGGUAUAAGGUGUGGUUCGCUUCGUAUUAGGAUUUACUCCGAAAGCGAAGAAACUUACAACAAAGAGUCCCUCCCGACUGUUUACCAAAAACACAGCACUCUGCUAACUCGUAAGAGGAUGUAUAGGGUGUGACGCCUGCCCGGUGCUCGAAGGUUAAUUGAUGGGGUUAGCAUUAGCGAAGCUCUUGAUCGAAGCCCGAGUAAACGGCGGCCGUAACUAUAACGGUCCUAAGGUAGCGAAAUUCCUUGUCGGUUAAAUACCGACCUGCAUGAAUGGCGUAACGAGAUGGGAGCUGUCUCAAAGAGGGAUCCAGUGAAAUUGUAGUGGAGGUGAAAAUUCCUCCUACCCGCGGCAAGACGGAAAGACCCCGUGGACCUUUACUACAGCUUGACACUGCUAUUUGGAUAAGAAUGUGCAGGAUAGGUGGGAGGC